rnacentral:lncRNA from 1 species
GCACGGCCAGACGCAUCUCUGGCAGGGCUAUUUCAGGAAGACCACUGCAGCAGGCUGAGUCCAUGCGCUGCUUGUUCUUGCAUCCUUUGCUCCAUGACGUUCCCUGGAACAUAGGAAGGGUGACACAGAUGUCCUGUUUUGGCUGAGCCUCAGUCACUCAUUCUUGGCAUCCGACCAGUUAUGAGACCUUUGGCCCUUGCUCGCAGCUGAGAGAGGCUUUUUGACCAAAGCCGAGAGCUGUAUUCGUCUGUGAAUAGAAGGCAGGUUCACUACAUGUCCAUUCAGCAUAGGACCCACAGGGCCAUGCUUUUGACCAUGAAAACCAGAACUUGAUGACAAUGACAAAACCCUAUUGCUGAAGACACACACACUUGAAUCAAAGAACACGGACAAAUCAAGCCUGAAUUCACCAGGAAGUUCCAUCUCUACCUGCCAGCUUUCAUAGUGCCGGAAGGUGUGGUACAUGCUGGUAGGAGGAAAGUAAUUAUCCGUCUUACCCAACCGUGAACCCUGAGAACUACAGUAGUGAGACUGGCUGGUGCAGCAGUGGGAUGCCUGUUAUGGAAGCAACCAGCCGUGUUGACUGAAUUUAAGUUUCCAUUCACAAGAUAAAACCAUACCUGGAACUGUUACUGGGGCCAAGAACCCAUGGCCAUUAAGGUCUUAGGUCCUAGGGGGGACCCUAAAUUCUGCUAAAUGUAUGCAGUCUUAAACUGACUCCUGAUGACUUUA